AAUACCUGACCGUGAUUCGUAAAGGCACUACAUCUUUGAUCGGGGAUGGAUUUGAUCAAGAGCUUUCUUAGCUUUACAUUGUUUUGGACUUGUAUUUGAGAGUGUAACCUUUUACUUAAGUAGACCUUACUUUUGACUCCUGUAAGUUUAAACCUAUAAGUUCAACUCUUGUUAUGUAAGUUGACUUUUGGUUAUAGGUAUACUAAGCUUUUGGA